GUUCUCCUUCUCCACUCCUGUUUUCAUCCUUCUGGAACACAACAGGAGCUCCUUGUUCUCCCAGCCCGCAACGAGAACCUCGCUGGUGGCUUUGGUGCCUCUUGGAAGUGGCUCACCCAAAACCAAACAGGCAGAACCUCACAGCAGAAGAAAUGUGCUGCCAAUAACCAACUGAAAGAAUUGCUUGAGCUGUAAGAACUGGAAUGCACAAGGAAAAGGUAGUCUGGAAGCAUGGAAGAGCAGUGCCUGCCUUGCACAGGAGGCAAACACAUCUCAAGUUGAUUAUCUACAGCCAUGUCUCAACUCUAAAGCCUUCCUCCAGCUGAAAGCAGAUUUUUAUCUGCCUCAUCAAGCUGCUUAUGGGGUGCUGCUGCCUGCCAGGCUUCGUAACCCUCUGUGCCUCGGUCCUUCAGAGAGCUUCCCAACCCCAUAAAUAAUG